rnacentral:rRNA from 1 species
UGGGGAAUUUUGGACAAUGGGCGCAAGCCUGAUCCAGCCAUGCCGCGUGCGGGAAGAAGGCCUUCGGGUUGUAAACCGCUUUUGUCAGGGAAGAAAUCUUCUGAGUUAAUACCUCGGGAGGAUGACGGUACCUGAAGAAUAAGCACCGGCUAACUACGUGCCAGCAGCCGCGGUAAUACGUAGGGUGCAAGCGUUAAUCGGAAUUACUGGGCGUAAAGCGUGCGCAGGCGGUUUUGUAAGACAGAGGUGAAAUCCCCGGGCUCAACCUGGGAACUGCCUUUGUGACUGCAAGGCUUGAGUGCGGCAGAGGGGGGAUGGAAUUCCGCGUGUAGCAGUGAAAUGCGUGGAUAUGCGGAGGAACACCGAUGGCGAAGGCAAUCCCCUGGGCCUGCACUGACGCUCAUGCACGAAAGCGUGGGGGAGCAAACAGGAUUAGAUACCCCUGGUUAGUCCACGCCCUAAAGCGAUGUCAACUGGUUGUUGGGAAGGUUCCUUCUCAGUAACGUAGCUAACGCGUGAAGUUGGACCGCCUGGGGAGUACGGCCGCAAGGUUGAAACUCAAAGAAUUGACGGGGUCAUAGCUGUUUCCU